rnacentral:rRNA from 1 species
CGUAACGCGUAUGCAAUCUACCUUUUACAGAGGGAUAGCCCAGAGAAAUUUGGAUUAAUACCUCAUAGUAUUAUGAAAUGGCAUCAUUUUAUAAUUAAAGUCACAACGGUAAAAGAUGAGCAUGCGUCCCAUUAGCUAGUUGGUAAGGUAACGGCUUACCAAGGCUACGAUGGGUAGGGGUCCUGAGAGGGAGAUCCCCCACACUGGUACUGAGACACGGACCAGACUCCUACGGGAGGCAGCAGUGAGGAAUAUUGGACAAUGGGCGCAAGCCUGAUCCAGCCAUGCCGCGUGCAGGAUGACGGUCCUAUGGAUUGUAAACUGCUUUUAUACGAGAAGAAACACUCCUUCGUGAAGGAGCUUGACGGUAUCGUAAGAAUAAGGAUCGGCUAACUCCGUGCCAGCAGCCGCGGUAAUACGGAGGAUCCAAGCGUUAUCCGGAAUCAUUGGGUUUAAAGGGUCCGUAGGCGGUUUAAUAAGUCAGUGGUGAAAGCCCAUCGCUCAACGGUGGAACGGCCAUUGAUACUGUUAAACUUGAAUUAUUAGGAAGUAACUAGAAUAUGUAGUGUAGCGGUGAAAUGCUUAGAGAUUACAUGGAAUACCAAUUGCGAAGGCAGGUUACUACUAAUGGAUUGACGCUGAUGGACGAAAGCGUGGGUAGCGAACAGGAUUAGAUACCCUGGUAGUCCACGCCGUAAACGAUGGAUACUAGCUGUUGGGAGCAAUCUCAGUGGCUAAGCGAAAGUGAUAAGUAUCCCACCUGGGGAGUACGUU